rnacentral:rRNA from 1 species
UACGUAGGGUGCGAGCGUUUAAUCGGAAUUACUGGGCGUAAAGGGUGCGCAGGCGGUCUCGUAAGCUGGGUGUGAAAGCCCCGGGCUUAACCUGGGAAUGGCAUUCAGGACUGCGAGGCUUUGAGUGUGGCAGAGGGAGGUGGAAUUCCACGUGUAGCAGUGAAAUGCGUAGAGAUGAUGGAGGAACACCGAUGGCGAAGGCAGCCUCCUGGGCCAGCACUGGACGCUCAGUGCACGAA